AGAGUUUGAUCAUGGCUCAGAUUGAACGCUGGCGGCGUGCUUAACACAUGCAAGUCGAACGGAAAGGCCCUUCGGGGUACUCGAGUGGCGAACGGGUGAGUAACACGUGGGUGAUCUGCCCUGCACUUUGGGAUAAGCCUGGGAAACUGGGUCUAAUACCGAAUAUGACCAUGCACUUCCUGGUGUGUGGUGGAAAGCUUUUGCGGUGUGGGAUGGGCCCGCGGCCUAUCAGCUUGUUGGUGGGGUAAUGGCCUACCAAGGCGACGACGGGUAGCCGGCCUGAGAGGGUGACCGGCCACACUGGGACUGAGAUACGGCCCAGACUCCUACGGGAGGCAGCAGUGGGGAAUAUUGCACAAUGGGCGCAAGCCUGAUGCAGCGACGCCGCGUGAGGGAUGACGGCCUUCGGGUUGUAAACCUCUUUCAGCACAGACGAAGCGCAAGUGACGGUACCUAUAGAAGAAGGACCGGCCAACUACGUGCCAGCAGCCGCGGUAAUACGUAGGGUCCGAGCGUUGUCCGGAAUUACUGGGCGUAAAGAGCUCGUAGGUGGUUUGUCGCGUUGUUCGUGAAAACUCACAGCUUAACUGUGGGCGUGCGGACGAUACGGGCAGACUAGAGUACUGCAGGGGAGACUGGAAUUCCUGGUGUAGCGGUGGAAUGCGCAGAUAUCAGGAGGAACACCGGUGGCGAAGGCGGGUCUCUGGGCAGUAACUGACGCUGAGGAGCGAAAGCGUGGGGAGCGAACAGGAUUAGAUACCCCGGUAGUCC
rnacentral:rRNA from 1 species